AUUCGCCCUUAGAGUUUGAUCCUGGCUCAGGAUGAACGCUAGCUACAGGCUUAACACAUGCAAGUCGAGGGGAAACGACAUCGAAAGCUUGCUUUUGAUGGGCGUCGACCGGCGCACGGGUGAGUAACGCGUAUCCAACCUGCCCAUCACUUGGGAAUAACCUUGCGAAAGUAAGACUAAUACCCAAUGACAUCCCACGAAGGCAUCCGAAUGGGAUUAAAGAUUUAUCGGUGAUGGAUGGGGAUGCGUCUGAUUAGCUUGUUGGCGGGGUAACGGCCCACCAAGGCAACGAUCAGUAGGGGUUCUGAGAGGAAGGUCCCCCACAUUGGAACUGAGACACGGUCCAAACUCCUACGGGAGGCAGCAGUGAGGAAUAUUGGUCAAUGGGCGAGAGCCUGAACCAGCCAAGUAGCGUGCAGGACGACGGCCCUAUGGGUUGUAAACUGCUUUUAUAAGGGAAUAAAGUGGGUCACGUGUGACUUUUUGCAUGUACCUUAUGAAUAAGGACCGGCUAAUUCCGUGCCAGCAGCCGCGGUAAUACGGAAGGUCCGGGCGUUAUCCGGAUUUAUUGGGUUUAAAGGGAGCGUAGGCCGGAGAUUAAGCGUGUUGUGAAAUGUAGAGGCUCAACCUCUGCACUGCAGCGCGAACUGGUCUUCUUGAGUACGCACAACGUGGGCGGAAUUCGUGGUGUAGCGGUGAAAUGCUUAGAUAUCACGAAGAACUCCGAUUGCGAAGGCAGCUCACGGGAGCGCAACUGACGCUGAAGCUCGAAAGUGCGGGUAUCGAACAGGAUUAGAUACCCUGGUAGUCCGCACGGUAAACGAUGGAUGCCCGCUGUUGGCCUGAAUAGGUCAGCGGCCAAGCGAAAGCAUUAAGCAUCCCACCUGGGGAGUACGCCGGCAACGGUGAAACUCAAAGGAAUUGACG
rnacentral:rRNA from 1 species